rnacentral:rRNA from 1 species
AUUCCAGCUCCAAUAGCGUAUAUUAAUGUUGUUGCAGUUAAAAAGCUCGUAGUUGGAUUUCUGGUUGGACCGCGAUGCCGGACUAGCAAGGGUUCGUGAUUGUUGUGGUUUCCUUCCAUCCUCAGGUUUGCGCGUGCUGGCCUUAACUGGUCGGUGGGUGUGGUCCUGUCGUUUACUGUGAACAAAUUAGAGUGUUCAAAGCAAGGUGUACUUGAAUACAUUAGCAUGGAAUAAUAAGAUAGGACUUUGGUGGUUCUUUUUGAUAUUUUGUUGGUUUGCACGCCAAAGUAAUGAUUAAUAGGAGCAGUUGGGGGUAUUCGUAUUCAAUUGUCAGAGGUGAAAUUCUUGGAUUUAUAGAAGACGAACUACUGCGAAAGCAUUUACCAAGGAUGUUUUCAUUG